GCGGACGGGUGAGUAACGCGUGGGUAACCUGCCUCACACAGGGGGAUAACAGUUGGAAACGGCUGCUAAUACCGCAUAAGCGCACAGUACCGCAUGGUACAGUGUGAAAAACUCCGGUGGUGUGAGAUGGACCCGCGUCUGAUUAGCUAGUUGGCAGGGCAACGGCCUACCAAGGCGACGAUCAGUAGCCGACCUGAGAGGGUGACCGGCCACAUUGGGACUGAGACACGGCCCAAACUCCUACGGGAGGCAGCAUG
rnacentral:rRNA from 1 species